UAAUACAAUCAAUCGUUACCGAUUAUGUGUGGAUUAUAUUUGAGUAAAGCUUACUUAGAACAGAACGAUAUAUAUAAAAUAUAUAUAUAUAUAUAUAUAUAAUAUUUAUGUAAAUUAAAGAAAACCCGGUUCGUUUGUUUUUAAAAGGAGGAUAUUGUAAUACAGACUUUCCGUCGUAAACUGAGGUAGGUGAAAUAGAUAGUGAAGGAAUUCAGUUCUUUCAAAUCAUAGCAGUUAUACACAAGGACUCAUUUCAUUCCAAACGCUGACUGCUUUCAAAAGCUGUAGAAAGCCAAAAUGAAGUUAUUACCUACACUGAUAGUGGGCUUUUUGAUUGUUGCAAUGUUGAUUAGUUUCAUCGUCCUUAUAUUCAUAUUCGAUACUCCAUUACUCCUACGGAUCAUAGGGCCCACAGCGAGUACUGCAGCUGCAAGUUUGGCACUAUACAAAUUAAGAAAUCGAUACCGGAAAACUACUCGUCAUAGAAUAAAAAUUCACAAAGGAUGGAUGGAAGAUAACCAAGAAACAAAUGAAAUUGGGUAGUGAACCGUAGUGAACAUUCUGAAGAAAUAGCCCCAAUGAAAAUAUUGAUAGUAUACUUCUAGCAUUAUGCGCUUUUAUUUCAGCUGUUGUUUCUUUUAGAUAAAUACAAAUAACAUUAUAUUAAGUAAUGUAAUAUUUUUAAUAUUUUUAAUAUUACAAAUGACAUGAUAUCAUGAUAUUAUUAUAGAUUACUUCUCAUAUAUUCUUUAUUGAAAUUGUAUUCCACAUAUAAAAGGUUAACAUAUCCUGUAGUGUGUAUGGUUUGGUGUAUAGAGGUAUGGUGAUAUUGUAAAUUAUUAAAGCGAACAUGAAAUGUG